CUUCAAAGUGAAUGCCCGUUUGAGCGAUAGUACAUGUGAGUAAUUGGUUUUCUACAUAAAUAUAUGUGUUUAAGGCUCUGGUCAUGUUGUCGUGAUCCAAACAUUUUUACAGGUGCUGGAGGGUUUUGUUCUGGUAGCUUUGCUAAUUUCGAUCUGUGCAGUUUGAUGAGCUCAGAUGAUGAAGAUGUGUCAUUUGUGUUAUUUUGAUAGUGUUGCUUCUGCAGCAGAGAUGCUGAAGUAUCAGUGAUGCCUUGAUUUUGCAGCCAGUUUUGUGUUUGUUCAUUCAGCUGAAGCAGAUGGCCUCACCCUUUACUGAGAUGGAGUGGUACACUAUUCUCUUCUGUCUGGUAAUAUUCAGUAUUUUCACCCUGUAUGGCCUAAUACAAGAGCGAUGUGAUCACACUACAGACAGUGAAGAUGUCAAAGAAAGACUUGAGGAGCCACUCAUCGUCUGAGUCCACCUGCAGGCCUCUCAAUAUUUAAGACAGAUUUCAUGCAACGUGGACCAGGAUCCAGGAUCAGUCAUGAUGAGUGCUGUGAACAUGACCUGACCUGUAUGCUGCUGCCUUUAUAGCACUUGAAAACUCAUCACCUGGACUGGAUCCAGCUGCAAACUCAGAGGUGGAAGUGUAUGUGUUUGUUAUGGAUCUGCUGUUUUCAGGUUUUGAGUUGGUCUUCAUCAUCAUUGCAUUUACUAUCAUGUGCUUAUUUGGCCUGGCUGCUGUCUGCACACACAACACAGAUCAUCAAGAUGACUACAUUCAAACAGAACAGAAGAUAAUGCGACAAAAGAACACCUCACAGAAAAAACAGAGAGUCAUCACCAAAACCAAUCAAGAGCUUCCAUGAACACAAACAAACACAUUUUAUACAAAUACAGAAUCCUUCCAUUGGUGCUCACUGGAUAAAAAGGACUGGCUCACCAAAUGCAGUUAACCUAGAGGACAAACCGAAGAUCUCUGACACUUAAAAUGGACUUGCUGUCAACCUCAUCUUUCCUUUGAGCCUCAAGACCAGCUGUCUCAGAUUGGCUUGAAUGUAUGACCCCAAUAAGUAAUUAACCAGUAAAGAAAGGUAAAGAAGAUUUAUUGAAAUUGAAACCCCUCCCCUUUCCCCACCUUAAUCUGCUUAUCACUUGUAAUACAAUGAUUUAAAGCCUGUCUGGAGGAGCCUUCAUUUUUUUCAUGCAGCUCAUGCUUUGCUGGGCAAACUGCUUCAAAAGUCUCUGGGUGGUGGUAGCCUUUGGCAAGAAAAACAGGAAAAUAUGUUACUGAAUGUAUAUUGUGAAGACAUUUUUAUAUUUAUACAAAAUAUAUUUAUAUGAUAUAAUGCUCUAAUAUUUAUAUAAUGCAUUGUUGUUGUAUUUUAAUUAUUUAAUUAUUUUUCCAUAUAUAUUUGCAUUUCAAAAUAAAAAUAUAUGAAUAUUGUCCA
ensembl:lncRNA